CAGCAGCCACGGUAAGACGGAGGGUGCUAGCGUUGUUCGGAAUCACUGGGCGUAAAGGGCGCGUAGGCGGCCUGUUAAGUCGGAUGUGAAAGCCCGGGGCUCAACCCCGGAACUGCAUCCGAGACUGGCAGGCUUGAGACCGGGAGAGGAGGGUGGAAUAUCCAGUGUAGAGGUGAAAUUCGUAGAUAUUGGAUGGAACACCGGUGGCGAAAGCGGCUCUCUGGCCCGGAUCUGACGCUGAGGCGCGAAAGCGUGGGGAGCAAACAGGAUUAGAUACCCCGGUAGUCCCUGUCUCUUAUAC
rnacentral:rRNA from 1 species